GUGUCUCAUUAGGCAGGAUUAGGCAGUCUGAUUAGGCAGGAUUAGGCAGUCUCUCAUUAGGCAGGAUUAGGUGGCCUCUCAUUAGGCAGGAUUAGGCGGUGUCUCAUUAGGCAGGAUUAGGCAGUCUCUGAUUAGGCAGGAUUAGGCGGUCUCUCAUUAGGCAGGAUUAGGCGGUGUCUCAUUAGGCAGGAUUAGGCGGUGUCUCAUUAGGCAGGAUUAGGCGGUCUCUCAUUAGGCAGGAUUAGGUGGCCUCUCAUUAGGCAGGAUUAGGCGGUGUCUCAUUAGGCAGGAUUAGGUGGCCUCUCAUUAGAAUCGGCCUUGAUUAUCACAUUCACGGACAUUGAUUUUUGGUCCGACCAAAUCCAAAUCUAUCAUAGACGGGCGGCAUAUUUUUGGUCUCGUCUAUGGAGGCAGAAAGGCAAGGACCGGCCCUGACCCCUUGCCUUGGGACCAUGUGUUAUAUGAAUCUAUUGUG
rnacentral:lncRNA from 13 species